rnacentral:rRNA from 1 species
AACGAACGCUGGCGGCAUGCCUAACACAUGCAAGUCGAACGAGACCUUCGGGUCUAGUGGCGCACGGGUGCGUAACGCGUGGGAACCUGCCCUUAGGUUCGGAAUAACUCCCCGAAAGGGGUGCUAAUACCGGAUAAUGUCUUCGGACCAAAGAUUUAUCGCCUUUGGAUGGGCCCGCGUUGGAUUAGCCAGUUGGUAGGGUAAAAGCCUACCAAGGCGACGAUCCAUAGCUGGUCUGAGAGGAUGAUCAGCCACACUGGGACUGAGACACGGCCCAGACACCACGGGACGCAAGCAGGGGGGAUUAUGGAACAAGGGGCGAAGGCUGGACACAGCAUGGCCGGGGGAGGGAAGAAGCCUUAGGGGUUGAAAAGCUCUUUUACCCGGAAUGAUAAGAAAAGUACGGGAAGAAAAAGCCCCGCCUACUUCGGG